ACCACAAUUUGCAAUUGAUCAACUCACUAGGAAUACACGCAAAAGCUUAAUCUAGGCUAAUAAGAUGAUUUGGUUUUGUAAACUUGACUAAUAAAGUAAAUAACAAUCAAACAAUGCAAAACAAAACAAAUGAAAGCAAAAUACAAAAGACUAACAAGUUUCGAAAGUAAACAAAGCGGAAAAUUAACGAGUUACUAAACGAUAACUAAAGGCGAAUUCUCGGGUUAAAGGGAAUUGAUUAGGAAUGAUUAAGAAGUGGAUUAUGGAGCUUCAAACAACUUCUAAUAAGCAAUGAUCCCUAGGCCAUAGAACACUAAGCAACACUAACACAUUUCCAUGACAUUAGUCCAUUUACUAAUCAAUUAAUCAUCAACUUCUUCCAAAGGCAAUCAAUUGACUAACAAGCAUUAUAAACAAGUCUAUCUAGCCACUUAACACCCUAGUCAACAAUUUCCAAAGGUAAGGAAUGUAAAGCACUUAAAGGUUUUGGUUCGGGAAUUUCAUCGAACACCUUCCGGGCAUGAAAUUCCUAAAGUCUAAAUCAACAUGAUCAAGGCUAAUCUAGCUUUAUAAUCAACCAAUAAGUAAGGAUCUUAAGCAAUCUAGCCCUAAACUUCAUAACCCAACAACUAAACCAUCCUAAUCUACUUUAACCCAAGAACUCUAAAUGACUACUCACUCAUGAUCAUGAUUACACAAAGCAAUAGGUUUGAUCUUUGUGAAAUCAUAAUUAGAGAAGGUAGAUAAGAGAUUAAAAGAGAAAUUUGGAUUCAAAACUCAACAAAACCAAAGAUUUAUACAAAAACUUAGAAAGAAACCUUAAGAGAAGUUUUUGAUCUCUAAACAAAACAUAAGACAACCUAAGAUUAGGUUAAGAGUAUUUAUAGGAAAACAUGAAUGAAGCGGGUCAACCCGGAAUGAAGCGGGUCAACCCGGAACAAACCGGGUUUUGACUGCUUAAAUGAUUUGUAGCAAGGAGCAGACGUCCAUAUGGUUGCUUGAUAUAAACUCUGGAAAGGCGUUCAUCUUCAGGGGAAUUCGUAGCAAGCAAGACAUCAUGCUACAAUUGGUCGCUAUGGCUCUUUUCUUCCUUAGGUCUUUUCUUCUUCUUCUCUCUUGAUCAAUUCUUGGGUUCUUAUGGUCCAAAACUCCUCUUUUAACUCCAUUCUUCAUGUCUCUACUCCAAACACCUUAAGACAAAUAACUUGAUGCAAAUGCAAUCUAAACAACCUAAAUGACAUGAAAAUGCAAGAACUUAAAGGUUAAACAAGGCUCAAAAAUCGUUAAAAUCAUAAGAUAUCACUUCCGUUUUUCUUUGCGUUUAGAAUUCACAUUUAUGUAUAAAAUCAUAAGAUAUCACGUUUUUGGAUUAUAGUUUUUUUUAUUUCUUUCUGAAUGAUACAUUUAUUCUUCUUGCAUUAUAGUUUCGCUUACAAAUUAAUGCAAAUGGAAAUGCACAUUCAUUUUUGUUAUCAAUUUUUAUCUGUGAAUUUCAUUAGAUGAAGUGUUGAGGAUUUACAUAAAAGUUUUUUUUUUUUUUUUUCUUUUUUUGUUAAUAGGUUUGACAAAAAGUUGAACCUAAAGCUUUGCCACAAAAAGAAGGGAAAAGUCUGGCUUCUCUUUGCUAAAAGUGGAUCUCUCUGGGUCGCUUGGCACCACCAACAUCACAUUAAAGGUCCCCAUUCACGCCUUUGUUGCAAGCACUUUUAUCCACAACCAGUGGCUUAGUUUGGCCCCAAGAUCUGCUCAAGUAGUUGCUCUACAGAGUCAUUUUUCAAGCAUUAAUCUGCCUCUUCCUUCUGACGAAGAGGAUACCUACACCUGGGACAUAGCUGGUCGAAGCCAUCCAUCCUUUCAAAUUGCUCCAACGUGGGAUGCUUUAAGACCGAAACAGAGAAUCAAAGAUUGCUCUUCAUUCCGAAAAAUGCUUUCACAGUUUCACCAUGUGGAUCUCCUAGCUUGACAGGCUUCCAACUAAGUCUAGGCUUGCUUCCUAACUUGCAUUUAAACGUUCUAUAUCCAAUAUAUCUCAACUUUCUAUAUUAACUUUACUUUUAAACUCUAACUAAAUGAUAACUCGCCUCACGCACAUGAUCAAAUCUAUUCAAGAGAAAGCUAUCUAAAGCGAGAUAUCUCUUGUGUAGUGUUGUACAUCUAACCUAGACGGUCCAUCAUACAAAAGAAAGACAAUUUGAGAGGUUUUAAAAGCCCAACCGAAAAAAUUGCAUUACAAAUCUAAAAAUUUGUAUAAUCUUUCUCAAAUUUUAACAAGCUUUUGACUACGCAGACAAUGGGUCUAGUGUCAAUAGGCAGCAUAAAUAAUUGGGGGCAUGUAAGUAACCCAGUCAUGCCUUCAAAAGUAUUAACCAGCGGUGGUUUGGUGGAACCACAAUGGCGUGGGUUUUGAACCACACAGUGUGGAAGUAUGGGUACACACACCAAGAGACGUUCGGAGAGUCUUCACGGGCAAUGCUCCCAUUCCGCUCCUUUUGCGUGGACAAACGAACGGAGACGACAGCGUUGAUUCGAGACCAACGAACAUCUUCUCUCUCUAUACUAGUAUGUAUUGGGAUCGAAUGUAUUUUGAAAGAUUUGAUUUGGUUUAUUUAUUAUUGUAAAAAUGUAAAUAUGUACCACUAAAGUGUUCAUGUCUUUUCCCAAAACAAUAAAGUAAGCCAACUUGGAUGAUUUGAUAA